UGUAUAUUACUAUUCAUGAAAUUUUCCUAAAUGUAUAGUCUUGGUUGAUACAAUAGGUAUAAGCUGUUAAGGUCAAAAAGAGUUUGAAAGAAUGAUUGGAUACGCAGACGCAGAUGAGUACUUGUGACGAUACAUCACAAGAAUGACAAUGGGUAUGCGAUUCUUGACAGUUUUCAAUCAUUUUUCUCACGUUUGUCAAAUUAGCUUUUGAUCGAUACGUCACUUAAAGUUUCUUAAAAAGUUCAUGGCACAAUGUCCUUAAUAGGAUUUAGACCAAACAUAGAAAAUUCUUCUCAAUACCCACCUGUAAUACAUAAUAAAAUUAUUGAUCUUGAAAAUGGAAACAAAGACCAAAACCCCUCGUUGUUGGAAUUGGCUGCUAGAACUCUUGUUCUAAACAAAAUUAAACUCGAACCUGGUGAAGUGCCUUCCCAUCUCGCUACUUAUGUUGAAAACGGACACAAAUGCAUCAUUCCCGAUUGUAAUCAGGUAUAUUUUGUCAGGGAGCAGUCACGAUUUAGGGAAUAUUCUCUGGUCAUACAUGUAUGUGCCAGAUGUGAGGAGAAAUACACAGAAAUCACUUCUAUCUAUUAGCUACAAAUAUUUUCCUAUAGAAAUCAAAACUAUGGAAGUAAAAAAGUGAUUAUAUUGUUGCUUAAAGAAAUCUUUUGUAUUAAAUUCUUUAUUUUGGUUUCGAAUCAAUAAAUAAUAAACUAUUAAAUUAA